rnacentral:rRNA from 1 species
UACGGAGGGUGCGAGCGUUAAUCGGAAUUACUGGGCGUAAAGCGCACGUAGGCGGUCAGGCAAGUCGGGUGUGAAAGCCCUGGGCUCAACCUGGGAAUUGCAUUCGAAACUAUCUGACUCGAGUAUGGGAGAGGGAAGCGGAAUUUCCGGUGUAGCGGUGAAAUGCGUAGAUAUCGGAAGGAACACCAGUGGCGAAGGCGGCUUCCUGGACUAAUACUGACGCUGAGGUGCGAAAGGCGUGGGGAGCAAACAGG